rnacentral:misc_RNA from 1 species
UUUUUUUUUUUUUUUUUUGGCCAUCACCCCUUGUUUUUCUAAUGCUUCUUUUUCCUCCUCCUUUCCUUUUUAGUUCGAGCAAUUCAUUUGGCUAUUCUAUUAUUCAAUUUCCGAAUAGACACUUUAAGUCCAAGUCUUCAAACUAAUGGUCUGGCCAAAUUACUCAUUUUUACCUCUUUAAAACUCACUAAGCAUUAUCUGCUAGGAUUCUCAUGUUAUCAUUUUGAAAAAACAAUAAGCAACCAAUCAAAACUUAUUUAGGGAAAGCGGAAAAUAAAGGCAGAUUAAGCAUUAAGCCUUGACCAACAGAUAACUAAGUAAAGCAGAAUAAAUUCCAAACAUUUUGCAGAGAAAAGAAAUUAAAAAAUAAAAAAACUCACACAACGGUUGCCAACCAAGACAAAAACAAACCCUAACUCUCCAUUUCGCUUUUAAGAUCAAGAAAACAGAGAAAGGGGGAAAAAAGGCCUUUCAUCAUUUCCCUUAUAUUCUAUCAGAUACCCAGAAAACAUAAGCGCCCACCUCAACUAAAACCAAGAUUCUUGAACGAAUUGCUUCACUUCAAUUUAACCUCCUCGUCAAAUGUCACCCUCAACCUUUUUUUUCUCUUAAAUAACAUUCUCCUUCUUUUCAUUCCACUUUCUACCAUUUCCUCAGAUACCAAACAGAAAAGGGCAGCCAAGAAAAAGAAAGAAAACAUACCUGAACCCAAAAGAAUCCACGUAAUAAAAUUAUAACUCAAGGAAUUAAAUGAUUCAAAGUUAAAUAAUCAAAUUUGACAGCUGCAAGGUUGCUCCAUCAGGCUAGAAAAAAAUAGCUUCAUUAAUGAAAUAGUUCAGAAAAUCUUUCAAUUAUCACAACAUGUUGGUAUCUAUAAGUAGAAAUACAGUCACUUUAAAAUGGUAUCCAAAGCAUUACUGCAUGCCGUUGAUCCACAGAAUUCCAAAGCCAGGACCUGAUUCUACAAAAGUGUUUUAUGCCAAAAGACAAACCUAAAGCAUAAAUGGCAAUGCUAAUCUAUUAGAUCAUAGU